rnacentral:lncRNA from 1 species
AAAACAUCGUAUGUUUAAUAAAAGGUCUUUAUUAUUAUAAGGGGGAAAAACUGUGUCUUCCACAAAACUUAAUCUAGGCAGUGGUCAACAGUUAUAUAUUCUCCCAAGGAUAGCUGCCUAGAUGGUGACAGAGUUGGAAGCUGGAAACCCAUUGGUGUUUGUAUGAAUCCAAGAAGACACAAGUUUGAAAUCAAAGCAGACUUAGAAUUCAAGUCCCAGCCCUAGCAAUUAACAACCAAGCACCUUGGAUGUCCUUCCACCUCUCCAGGAGUUAUCUAUAAAAUGAGGUUCGGGGCCAGCCCGGUGGUGCAGCGGUUAAGUUUGCACGUUCCGCUUCUCGGCGGCCCGGGGUUCAUCAGUUCAGAUCCCGGGUGCGGACAUGGCACCGCUCGGCAUAAGCCAUGCUGUGGUAGGCGUCCCACGUAUAAAAUAGAGGAAGAUGGGAAUAGAUGUUAGCUCAGGGCCAGUCUUCCUCAGCAAAAAGAGGAGGAUUGGCAGUAGAUGUUAGCUCAGGGCUAAUCUUCCUCAGAAAAAAAAAAGAGGCUCCCACAUGACUUGGGGUGGCUGCGAGGAUCAGAGGACUAAUGCGUGGGCAGACCCUUUGUGAGCCACGGACACCCCACAGUUGUUGGCUAUUAUCCAGAGUCAUUAAAACGGUGUCCUUGAAGGUGACCUUGCAAUGUUUCUCUGACAGUUCCUUCAGCAUUGGUCCAGAGUUCCAAUCCUAGCAAGUAAGAUCUCGCAAAACAAAUAUUUAUUGGGCACCUCAAUGGGCCCAGUAGUCUGCUAGGGGCUGGGAAUACUGCAGUAAGUGGGGCAGCAGUAACAUAACACCUGCCGUCAUGAAGUUCAUGUUCUGCGUGGGACUUGGGAUGAGUCAGUGUCCUUCGAAGGCCAUAUGAAGCAAACUCUGGGGUCAGACAGACCUGAGUUCCAACACUGGCUUCUCCACUUGAAAGCUGCUGAUGUUAGACAAUUAAGAAAAACCUCAGGGCCGGCCCAGUGGCGCAG